rnacentral:rRNA from 1 species
UACCAGCACCCCGAGUGGUCGGGACGAUUAUUGGGCCUAAAGCAUCCGUAGCCGGUCCUACAAGUCUUCCGUUAAAUCCACCUGCUCAACAGAUGGGCUGCGGAAGAUACUAUAAGACUAGGAGGCAGGAGAGGCAAGCGGUACUCAGUGGGUAGGGGUAAAAUCCGUUGAUCCAUUGAAGACCACCAGUGGCGAAGGCGGCUUGCCAGAAUGCGCUCGACGGUGAGGGAUGAAAGCUGGGGGAGCAAACCGG